CGUGUAGGUGGUUUGGUAAGUAGAGCGUGAAAGCUCCUGGCUCAACUGGGAGAGGUCGUUCUAAACUGCCGGACUAGAGGAUGGUAGAGGGAGGUGGAAUUCCGGGUGUAGCGGUGGAAUGCGCAGAUAUCCGGAGGAACACCAGUGGCGAAGGCGGCCUCCUGGACCACUCCUGACACUCAGACGCGAAAGCUAGGGUAGCAAAC
rnacentral:rRNA from 1 species